rnacentral:lncRNA from 1 species
AUUCUUGUGUUUGCUCCCUCAGCAUUUGACAUUGUGCAGCAAAGAAAUGGUUAUGGAGAAGCCCAGUCCGCUGCUUGUAGGGCGGGAGUUUGUGAGGCAAUAUUAUACUUUGCUGAAUAAAGCUCCAGAAUAUUUACACAGGUAAAUUUUAAACAAAUUAUUUAGUGUUUUUAUUAGUUUUUUUUUAUUACUACAUAUAUUUUAACUUUCCUGACUCCUCAUAAUUUAACAGUAUCUUUAUAAACAUCUCUAAGCCAUAUCUGCUACUUUUUAUCAUGUAAUGACUCAAGACUGGUAUUUUUUCUAAAGUUUUUUACUAUAGCCCACAGUAAAAAAAACACAUUAUAUCCCAG